CUAAUAUGUGCUUUUGUGCUGAUCUUGUGCAAACUUCUUAAGCCUGCGCACCUGCUUUCUCAUGUCCUGUCGGUGGAAAUCAUGGAGCCUCGGGACUGCUGUUUGAACGCUGUACUGUAGAAGGCACAGACUGAGAUGCUGGAUCAACUGCGCAUGCCUGUCUUUGUGACCGGCUGCUAUCGAUCCUUCCGAGCCCGUGUGCCACGCUGGAAAGCUGCAUCUAAGAGUUAAGAUUUACUGGCUUAAAAGCGUGUGUGUCGUGGGAUUGCGCGGUGGCUCAAUUGUGAGAAUUCAAUGUGAACAUCUUUGAAAUGCAGUUUCAAAUCUCCCACACGCUGACAAGAGCCACGUGAACCAUUGUGCAGCACUGCACCCAUUUGACAGAUGAGAGCAUGGAUACCUAACCGGAGCCUGGCAGGUCUUGGACAGCAGAGGCCACCCUGCAUCUGACACCAUCUCUUGUAAUCCAUGACUUCUCUUCCUGCCUCCAUGAAUCUCCAGAUAACAGAUUCCUGCCCUCCUAAAAGAUGGGACAAGACAAACACCAAAGGGCAGUGUUGGACUGCAGGGGGGACCAGGAGACCUUACUGACUCGUCGGCAAUAAAGUUUGUGUGGAACUGACAUCCUAGCAGGCUCCUGGGCGAUGCAGAUGCUGGCAUUCUGGGCACUGCCCUUUGGAAAGCUAUGAUGACCACUGAAGCAGAACAGACCAAAGCAAAGAGGUGGGAAAGUCGCGAGAAGAUACAGGACUGGCUGGGAUACAUCAGGAAGAGGAGCUGCGAUGGAUGGGACUUCAAAUGGAAGUUGGUGAUUAUAUCCGUCCCAGCACCUCCCGCCUUGCAAGAGAGGCCUUAUAAAUCCUGGUCACAAGGAAGGGAAACAGAAGCUCAAGGAAGAGAGAGCCAUGGCUUCCUAGGUGUCAGUGAAGACCCAGACGCUGAAACUAUAACCGCCUAGUUCAGAAACCUAUACUUUGCUUGACCACAAUCCAAGCAGGGGGUGGGGAUGGGAUGUUUUUCUGCAGGGCUGGACAUAGAGUCAGUGUUCAGAGCACAUUGUUGGAGAGAGGAAGGAUGGGUGAGUGAAUAAGUGAAGAAAUGAAUGAGAGAACAGAACCACUUUGAGAGCCUGGAAACCGGGACCUCACGCUCUGUGACCUCACGCUCCAACUUCCCCUCCUCCCCGAGUCUGAUCUGAAAGGUGACCCCCGUUCCUCUCGCCCAGGUGAUAAAGCCAGGUGCAGGUGCACCUGUUACCCAAACCUGAUAUCCAAAUAGGAAGUAAGGCUGAGAUAAGGCUGUGGAGGGCAGUGCCUGGAAUCACGGGGUUGGGCUGGCCAUUGGCUUGAUGCCACAAGUGUCCACCGAGCCUCUCCUAAAGGUUGAGCUCUAUGCCAGGUUCCUUCAGGGUGAGGCAGGAAGCCACGCAGCUCCUGACCUCCAACAGCUUAUGGAAAAAAAAAAUACUUACAAACAGGAUGUGGGUCGGGCAAAGGGAGAAGUGUGAAGCAGGUGGCCAUUGCUCCCUGACAGCUCCAACAGGGAGUUGGGACUGAGAGAUGAGAAGAAAUGAGGCAGUAGUUAGUGAUGCCAGGGGAGGGGCCUGACCCUUGCACUGCCAUUGCUGAGGAAUAAGAGGUCCUUAAAGUUUAGCUCCUCAGACCCAGACCCCUCCCCAGUCCUCCUAC
rnacentral:lncRNA from 1 species